GAUGAAGUUUGUCCUUAAACAGGAUUAAUAGGUUCAAUCUCAAUUCUUAAUUAAUGUUAUUGGAAAAACAAUGCAAGAUUUCAUUUUUCACUGUAAUUUAUUGCAUAUAAAAGAAUUUAUAGCAACAUAGUGGGGGUAUGGUAACACUCCGUAUUCUAGCCCACAACAAGCCCUUUGGGCAACAAUAUAGCGCCUGACUUUCGGUAUUACCAAACCUCUAUAUGGGAUCAUAUAAUCAGUAAUACCAAAUUUUCUGAUGCAGAGGAUCCUCAAAGAGGCAACUGCAGAGCAUACUUUUGAUAUUACUUAGAUCUUGCUCUUACUUAUUCAUUCUGAAAUUUUCAUAGUUGUCAAAACUAUGGAAGAACAAAGAAAGGAUUUUAGAAGAACAUUGUUAAGAGGAACAAACUUUUUAUUAAGAAGAGUUGAGUUCGAGAUGAUCCUCAAUGAAAGAUAAGAGCUCCUUAUAUAAAGGAGGAGCCUCAUCAUACAACCGACACAAAACUAAUAAUACUAUCAAUGACUCAUUACUUUUAGUAAAAUACUUAUUACAUAAGGACAUGACUCACAACUUAAAAGGACAUGACUCAUCACUUUACUAGCAUGACUCACUACUUUUAGUACAAUAAUUUUACAACCAUCUUUUAAAAAGUAAAGAAUCUACUUUUUAAAAGGGAUUUUAUUGCAAACGACAAAAUGAUUAUUUCACACGAGUUGCUGAGUCAUCAAGGUGUUCCAAGAUUUGCUUCUCGUCCAGGUUCAUUUGAAUCAUCUGAAUUAGAGGAGAGUUCAUGUUGCUUCCACCAAGGCUAAGUUCUAGUAUCAAAUUUUUCUUCAAAAAAUUUUUCUUCCAAUUUUUCAAGAUUGUAUGGGUCUGUUGGAUCAAAAUCAUACGACUGUAUUCCAUAAUCAUAUGGAUCUUGAAAGUUUUGAAAAACACUGUCAUUAUAAUUUAUUUCCGUGUCCAAAUAUCUUGAGUUUUGUUUAUUUGGAUUGCUUGAUCCUGGUUUGUCCACAUCCAUUUUAUUAAUUUUCAUUUUUUCUUGAAAUUCAUUCCAGAGAUUGUUACGCAGUUGUUGUCCUUCUGGUGUGGUUUCUGGAUAUUUAAAUGUUUCUCCAAGGCAUUGAUGUGGCCUUCCCAACUAAAGCUGGUUCCAAUGGGUUUUGUCACUUUCCCAAGUAGCAGAUGGAUAGUGUCCAAAUACUUGUCCAAAAAUUUGGCAUUGUCCUUCUCUGUGUUUCUGAAUGUGUUGCUGAAUCUUAGUUGCAUAGUCUAGAGGUAGAAUUUCCCAUGGAGCAUCAUCUUCUAUGUCGGCCAAAUUUGUGGAGGAAUUGUCUGGUUGAUUUCAGCCAUUUUUCUUUAAAAUUCUCGAAACUCCUUUGGAUACCUUUCCCAAUCUUGAUGGAGAUUGAAAGGUUGGACUGCAUACUCCUUAACAUAAGAGAAGUGUUCAUAAGAACCUGUUUCUAUAAAAUAUCCUUGCCGUUGGAACAUCAGAAUUACAAAAACAUUGUUUUGGGAAGUUCUCAAAUCUUUAAAUUUUAAAGAAAAUGCUUCAAACAUUUUUAUCCAAUGAAAAAUAGGAUAAAACCAUUCGAAAAAUUUCUUUGCCUCAAAAUGUGCUUCUUGAAAUGGAUCAUUUUUGUUAAAACUUCGAAAAGUGAUUUCUUUGAACCAUUCAAGAGAUUCACAAACAUUAAAAGAAACUCCAAUUUGGAAAAGUUCCAAUAAGUACCACAGAAAAUAAAGUAAUUCCUUUAAAAAUUUUGAAACUGUUUGGUGUGGGAUUAUAUGGAAUAAAUUAAAAAAUUGAUAAUCUGGAUGAAAUCUAAGACCGCCAAGAGUUUCAAUUCCUGUUUGCCUGAUAACAAUGGACUGGUAUUUUAACAUGAACUCUUUGGCUCGGGAAUGGAGGGUUUUGUCUCUGAUGAGAGUAUUAAGUUCUGGGGGAAUUUGUUCAUUUUGAGAAAGCAAAUGAAAGGGAAGGUUUAUCAUACAGAUUACAGGGAUAGGUUGGGAGUGAAAAGCUUUUGGUCUGGUGAGUAGGUCUGGAAGGAGGUUGGUUUUUCCCUUUAUAUGUUUGACAUCAAAGUCAAAGUUUGAAAACCAUUCUGCCCAUCUGAGUAGUUGAGAAUUUGAAAUUUGUUUUUGUUUGAAUGAAAGCAUUUUAGGGAAUGCUGAUAUGUCUAUUUCAAUAAGAAAUUUGUGUCCAAUGAGAUGAAAUUGAAAUUUCUCAAUACCACGUUUUACCGCCAAGAUUUCUUUGAAAGUGGAAUGAUAAUGUUUUUCUGCUUCUGAGAAUGCUCCACUUUUGUAUUCACAAAUGUUUCUUUUUCCAUUUUUCUCCUCCAAUAGAACUGCUGCCCAAUAUAGAUCGCUUGCAUCAGUUUGUAAGAUCCUUUCCCUGUUAGUAGGGAUAGAUAGAGCUGGAAGUUCUUGCAACUUUUGUUUGAUUUUUC
rnacentral:lncRNA from 1 species